CCUACGGGAGGCAGCAGUGGGGAAUAUUGCACAAUGGGGGAAACCCUGAUGCAGCGACGCCGCGUGAAGGAAGAAGUAUUUCGGUAUGUAAACUUCUAUCAGCAGGGAAGAAAAUGACGGUACCUGACUAAGAAGCCCCGGCUAACUACGUGCCAGCAGCCGCGGUAAUACGUAGGGGGCAAGCGUUAUCCGGAUUUACUGGGUGUAAAGGGAGCGUAGGCGGGUUAGCAAGUCAGAAGUGAAAGCCCGGGGCUCAACUCCGGGACUGCUUUUGAAACUGUUGAACUAGAGUGCAGGAGAGGUAAGUGGAAUUCCUAGUGUAGCGGUGAAAUGCGUAGAUAUUAGGAGGAACACCAGUGGCGAAGGCGGCUUACUGGACUGUAAAUGACGCUGAGGCUCGAAAGCGUGGGGAGCAAACAGGAUUAGAUACCCCAGUAGUC
rnacentral:rRNA from 1 species